rnacentral:siRNA from 1 species
ACAAGAUGGUCGCAUGUUUGUCUG